rnacentral:tRNA from 1 species
AGCCACACGAUUAGUGUAGCGGUUAGCACGCCACCCUCUCACGGUGGAGACUCGGGUUCGAGUCCCGGAUCGGCUA